rnacentral:tRNA from 1 species
GGAGAGGUACCGAAGUGGUCAUAACGGGGUCGACUCGAAAUCGACUUGCCCUGCCAAAAACGGGGCACGUGGGUUCGAAUCCCACCCUCUCCGCCA